GUUUCCACAAAGUCUGUAAGGAAUCUGGAGGUCAUCACUGACUAACAGUCAGACCCUACCUUUUUACCUUUGUGUUGUCUUUUUUCGACUACUGUAGUGUCGUUUGUAAUUGAACCUCUGAGACGAUUUAUUUAAAUACAGCAUAUUUAGAAUAACAACAAUUAGUACAGGUUAUGUGAUUUGUGGUUGAUGGGGAACACAAACAUGCGUCUGUGCUGUUUUAAAUGAACUUAAAUAUUUACAGCAACACUGAUUGGUGAGACUGGUUGGUGUGAUUUGUGGCAAGCAAAUCACCUUUUUCUUUCACUUCUGCAGGCAUUUAAAUUCAGCUACUUCCUUGUUGGAGUCAUUUGGAGCUUGGUGCAUUGAAACAACCGUUCUUCUUAUCAGCUCAAAAUAAAAAAAAAUAAUGACACAAAGUGGGAUAACUCGCUGUUAGCUUUCCGACAACCAGGUUAGAUCUGACAACAAUGCAUCCAGAGAGUUAUUCAAAAACACAACUGCACCCUUGCCUGCUCAUCCUUGGACGAGCUUGUCAAGCUGACAGAAGAUACUCCUAAAGACACACAAACAGUAAGAAGAUGAUUUGGAUCCUUUUGCUUGUCAUCUUGACCUCCUCUGUCUGUGGGAUGCUUGUUGUGAAAAUGUCUCUAACUUCUUAUCAGACAGAGGAGAACGAAAAUGUCACCUUCAGAUGGGACAUUCAGACAUUCAGAAAUUCAGAAAUUUAUUUGUCUGUCUUCCAAAUCAAAUGUGUUUUCCAUUCAGAGCCACCUAAGGUUUUGUACAAAAUGGUAGAAAAUAUUGAGUACACAGAGUCUCAGCAUCAGCAGUUUGCUGGACGGGUUCAGUUGGACAAAGACGCUCUGAGAGAAGGAUGGAUCGGACUUCAUUUGUCCACAGUCACAGCUGAAGACUCUGGAAAAUACCAGUGUGAUCUGGCUGCUGAUUAUGACAGGAAAACAGGGAGAUGGGGGCUUGAAGCCACUGGUUUAAACCAAGCAAUUAACAAACCAAACUGGGCUGCAUCCAUUGGACUUCUGGCAGUAGCUCUCGCAGCCAUUGGAGUAUUAACAAUUAAAUGCUUUCACAGACAGAUCAAUACAGAAGUGGAAGUUGCAGCACUGAGUGGGUGAUUGUUCAGCAAAGUACAGACAUUAGCAUCGACACCCCCGACUCCUCCAGGUGUAAUUGAAGACAGCAGAAAUAAUGUGAUGGCUUACCCUUUUAUAUAACAGUCUGAUAAAAUCCCUAUAGUAUCAUAUAUUAUCAGAUGAAAUGUCAUGACAAACAAAUGUUUAUAGUACAUAUACUCUGUUUUCUUAUUUUGCCAAUUCUGCCUGAGGCAACUUGCAGAGACACAAAACAAAUACAAUAACAUUAGCAUCUGAAAUUUACAGUGUGUGUUGGCAUAUUCAGUGUUUUCAGUAUGUGAUUUCUGCAUUUGAUUUUUGUGAUGUUCCACAGUCAAACGAGUCUUUUAAUAUCAAAGUAACAAUCUGCAAACAGUAGACACCAAAACAUGUAAAAAUACCACAUUAGUCUGCAAUAUACCUCAAAGAAAGUACAAGUUUCUGCAAGUCGUUUCUAAAACUUUAUUGAACACACUUAUGCUCCCCUCUAAUUACUUAUUUAUUAGUUACUAUUAAUAAUUUACUUUACUGAUUUUUAUUAUUGCUGUAAAGCUGAUUUAGAUCAUCAAUCACAGUGAACAUUGUGUCUAAUCAUGUGCUACUGGAGUCAAAGGUGUGUUUUAUUACAGGUCAAAGUACGAACUGGUUUUAAAAGUAUAACUCAACUGUAAUAGACCACCUUGUUUUUAAUUAUGUACAGUUAAUGUGUGACAGCUGCAGUAUAUCAAAACUGUUGUGUUCAUUAAAAUACCUACUAGUUAAAUCAUGUUUUACUCUAGCCUUCAGAAGUGUGUGUAUAAAAUACUUUAAAUUGCUUUUUCCAUGUAGUGGUGUUGGUCAAAUUAUAUCAUGGCUUUUAUUUGGACACUUACAGCACAUUAUGUAAUAACUGAAUAAUAAAUAAUAAACAUUGAGUGACCUCUGUGAAACUUGCUGUGUUUCAUUCUGUCCAGCAGAAAGGCAACAGAAACAGCAGCUGUUGUUCGUCUCCUUCAGACUUUUUUCGCAAGAGUCGAUGUGAGACACUGAUCAGAACCAGACUUAACCUGCAGUACCUCAACCAUCAACAUUAAUGCAGAACCUGUAUUUAAAAGAGACAAAACCUGCCAAAAGGUGUUAAACCUAAUCAUCAGGAAACAGAUCUAGACAUCUAAACACUGGUGAUAGAGGAUUGAAGUUGAGAUGCAGCAUGGAUGGAAAUGACAGUAGAAAGAGAUAGCAUUAGGUGCUUUAAAUGUUCUAUGAUUAGUAUGAUAACAUAAAAAUAUAUAUAUUACAAUUGAGAGAGGAACUUUAAAGUAAUGACCAGAUGAGGUGUCUUCCCGUCUGAACUUGCACUGAAAGCUUCAUUUCUACAAACCUCAAACUGCAAAAUAAUGAAACUGAACAUUAACACAGUUGUUGUUGCAGUAGUAGUAGUAGUGUGUUAAAGUGUCUUCAUGUUAAUGUUACACUGUACUUCAGGUUGAUGAAUGCACAAAGAUUUCUGGUUGUAGAUGCUGGGCAAUAAAGCUUUUUUGUUUUGUUUGAGAGAUAUAUAUUUCUCAGGCCUGAUCACUGUUCAUCUCCACAAUCCACAAUCAAAGUUUCUAUAUAUUUAGAAUUGCUUGUGUGCUUUUAAUCAGGCUGCACAGAUUAGGUGGACCAUAUCAUCUGUACAGGAAAACAAACUAAUGCUGCUGCUGCACUACCAACUACUUCUACAAACAACUCAGUGGAAAUAAAGGGAAUGUUCUUCAUGUUCUGUGUUUUUUUUUUUUUUUAAGUGGCAAUAGCUCAGUUGGUAGAGCAGUGGUGAGCCCCGGGUUCAGCGGUUCUGUUUCACAUUCCUCCAGGCCACAUGUUGUGUCGUCAGUCAAAGCACUAAAACCUCGUAGUGUCGUCUAUUCUCUACGCUUCCAAGGGUUUCACUAAUAUAAUCACUUUAUUGUACUUUAGUGCAGUAUUUCUAUACUGGUACUAUACUUUAUAAACAGUUCUGGUUCUUAAAAAGCUCUAUUUUCUAGGUAGGAAAGAAAAAACC
rnacentral:lncRNA from 1 species